rnacentral:sRNA from 1 species
GUAGAUACUCAUCCUACUCCUUAUGACAGCCUGUGGCUUCAUAAACCUCAGGAUGAUGUAGAGCUGAUUGUCAGUGCCUAUGGUCCAUGUUAUAGAUGAAUGAGCAUUCUGUCUUUUCAUCGCAAACCGGACAUAACGUUGAGUGAGGCACUAUCCGUCUGUAGACCUGAUUGUAUUUAUACACCUGUCUUCUUUGAUAGGUGUUUUUUU